ACGAACGCUGGCGGCGGGCUUAACACAUGCCAGUCGAACGGAAAGGCCCUGCUUUUGUGGGGUGCUCGAGUGGCGAACGGGGGAGUAACACGUGAGUAACCUGCCCUUGACUUUGGGAUAACUUCAGGAAACUGGGGCUAAUACCGGAUAGGAGCUCCUGCUGCAUGGUGGGGGUUGGAAAGUUUCGGCGGUUGGGGAUGGACUCGCGGCUUAUCGGCUUGUUGGUGGGGUAGUGGCUUACCAAGGCUUUGACGGGUAGCCGGCCUGAGAGGGUGACCGGCCACAUUGGGACUGCGAUACGGCCCAGACUCCUACGGGAGGCAGCAGUGGGGAAUAUUGCACAAUGGGCGGAAGCCUGAUGCAGCAACGCCGCGUGCGGGAUGACGGCCUUCGGGUUGUAAACCGCUUUCGCCUGUGACGAAGCGUGAGUGACGGUAAUGGGUAAAGAAGCACCGGCUAACUACGUG
rnacentral:rRNA from 1 species